GGCCUAGUGGUUAAGGCUAUGGAUCGCCACUCCACAGACGGCGGGUUCGAUUCCCGU
rnacentral:tRNA from 1 species